GAUGAACGCUGGCGGCGUGCCUAAUACAUGCAAGUCGAGCGAACAGAUGAGGAGCUUGCUCCUCUGACGUUAGCGGCGGACGGGUGAGUAACACGUGGAUAACCUACCUAUAAGACUGGGAUAACUUCGGGAAACCGGAGCUAAUACCGGAUAAUAUAUUGAACCGCAUGGUUCAAUAGUGAAAGACGGUUUUGCUGUCACUUAUAGAUGGAUCCGCGCCGCAUUAGCUAGUUGGUAAGGUAACGGCUUACCAAGGCAACGAUGCGUAGCCGACCUGAGAGGGUGAUCGGCCACCCUGGAACUGAGACACGCUCCAGACUCCUACGGGAGGCAGCAGUAGGGAAUCUUCCGCAAUGGGCGAAAGCCUGACGGAGCAACGCCGCGUGAGUGAUGAAGGUCUUCGGAUCGUAAAACUCUGUUAUUAGGGAAGAACAAAUGUGUAAGUAACUAUGCACGUCUUGACGGUACCUAAUCAGAAAGCCACGGCUAACUACGUG
rnacentral:rRNA from 1 species